rnacentral:rRNA from 1 species
UACGGAGGGAGCAAGCGUUACUCGGAAUUAUUGGGCGUAAAGGGCGCGUAGGCGAUCUGACAAGUCUGGUGUGAAAGCCCACAUGUUAACUGUGGAAGUGCAUUAGAAACUGUUGGAUUUGAGUUCAGGAGAGGAAGGCAGAAUUCCUGGUGUAGCGGUGAAAUGCGUAGAUAUCAGGAGGAACACCGGUGGCGAAGGCGGCUUUCUGGACAGAUACCGACGCUGGGGCACGAAAGCUAGGGGAGCAAACAGG